GGGGAUAUAGCUCAGUUGGUAGAGUUCUUGCCUCCAAUGUACAAGACCCUGGGUUCAAUCCCCAGCACCACCA
rnacentral:tRNA from 1 species